rnacentral:rRNA from 1 species
CCUACGAGAGGCUGCAGUGGGGGAUAUUGCACAAUGGGGGGAACCCUGAUGCAGCGACGCCGCGUGGGUGAAGGAGCGUUUCGGCGCGUAAAGCCCUAUCGGCAGGGAAGAAGGAGGACGGUACCUGACUAAGAAGCCCCGGCUAACUACGUGCCAGCAGCCGCGGUAAUACGUAGGGGGCAAGCGUGAUCCGGAUUUCCGGGGUGUAAAGGGGGCGCAGACGGCAGCACAAGCCAGGAGUGAAAGCCCGGGGCCCAACCCGGGGACUGCUCUUGGAACGGCGCGGCGGGAGUGCAGGAGGGGCAGGCGGAAUUCCUGGGGUAGCGGUGAAAGGCGUAGAGAUCAGGAGGAACACCGGUGGCGAAGGCGGCCUGCUGGACUGCGACUGACGUUGAGGCCCGAAAGCGUGGGGAGCAAACAGGAUUAGAGACCCGAGUAGUC